UUUGUAAAUGUGAGUUGGAGAAAAUGCAUUAACUGCUUUCCUAUGUCUUUUGUCUUUGUUUUGCCCAGGAUUGCUUCUCCUGGAAGGUUGCUUUACCUAGCUCCACUGUUACUAUUCAUAUGCACAUAAGACUUGAAAAUUCCUCAUACAAGGCCCUCAUGUCAAAUACAGAAGAUGUACAGCUGUUCUUUGCUUCUGAAACCAAGAGACUGCAGGAGAACAUUUGUGAGAAGGUAGCUGCUUGCAGGUAAAUAUUUUCUUCAGCAGAACCUAAGGAAAGUGAUAUUUAUUUACUUUGACUCCAGUUCUUCUCUAUGUGCGGGGUCAGGCCUCUAGAGCAGUACUAAUUGAAAGGCGGAAAGUUCAUGAGCAAAAGUGUUUCCCUUCUGUAUGGAAUAAGAAAAAUUAAGCAAAAUUGAUCCUUCAUAGACUUGUGUACCCAGGUAACACAGCAGAACGUACAGAAAUCACAUACAAGUUGUGAAAAUGUUGACUAUCAAUGACUGUAGGAAGUAACAAAGAACAGCUUGUUAUUCUGCACUGUUUCCCCUACCCCACUGAGUUUUUCCCUGUAUCAUUUGUGGGUGGAACAUGAACUUGGGUGUGUAUCUGCAGGCAUAAUUUGACCUUUGAAACCUCCAUUACUGUAACUGAUACAAGAAAAGUGAAAGUCACAGUUUAUGUUCGGGUACCAGACCAAGUACCUCAUAAAGUUUGAAAAACACAGUUAGAGAAAACAUAAUUUUUGCUGGCAUGUGGCUUUGCUAUAUGAACUGCCCUGGCUUGUCCUGUUAAAAUUUGCAGCAAACCCUUUUACCAGUAUGAGAAGGCAACACAGACUAUGUGUCAGUAGGAUAAUAGUAGGCAGGAUAAUGCC
rnacentral:lncRNA from 1 species